UGUAUGUGCCGCCGAAGCGAGCCCAGGAAGAGCUGUUUACACGCUAUUUCCGUAACGCAUGGCCAGGGUUAAACCAGUUCCACAGAAAUGUACUUUUCAUCAUGAUAACUUGUGAAUACGAAAAAUUACUUGAAGGCAUUUUUUUCCCCCUUCUACCUUGGAAGAGCAGAGGGCUAAUACGCCAUUCUCAUUGUUCUUCCUGGGAGUGCUGUACAUCUGGGUCGGACUUCCUAAUGAAAUGGUGGCCUUUCUGAUGAGUCCAGCUGGUCAGUGACAUGGCGUGGCCCUGUUUUGAGAUGAACGCAGCGUGGAGUCAAGGGAGAGAGACGGUCGGCACUCCCUUGAAGGCUGGGCCGUGGGGAAGAAGGCCUCACAGAACAAUUGGCCAAGGCGUGGCCCAAUGAUUAGCAGGUGCUGCCCUCUCUGCCCUUGGCUGUGUUUCCUGGCCAGCGAAGAAGCUUAUCUCAACACGCUUGGAACGGAUGAAGACAUGGAUGUUUCCCAAUUGUUUGACUUCUAACCUUCCUGGGUGACCUGCAUGUCACUAGCUGAGAGGCCACAGCAGAGCCCGGAUGGGGCCUCCCGGCUUCUAGGGUGGAUUGCCAACUAACGAAUAAGGCCAUUUGAUGCCGGUCUCGAGGUUAGAAGUCAACAGUCAGGAUUUUCAAAACAUCAUCUCUUAAAGACGUUUCUAAGUGGACACACAUCAUCCUUACAACUCCUGGAACUCAGAGAGGAAACCGUCUGACUUUGGAGCUGUUGCCAAUGAUGGCUUCAACGGGAUUUUCGUAAUAUUCGAGUAGAGUGACACCAGAAAUUUUUACAGAUCCUCAAAAUCUUCGAAAGGCAUUUAAGUAGUUGUGGCUACAUUAAAUCUUCUUGAAGAAGUAAAUAUCUUUUAAAGUAUGACAUUGAAUUGGGAUACGGGCACGGACACAGCUGAUGCUAUAAGUUUCUCUUCAGAAGUAAAUUAGUGUCAUUUCUUAUGGUUCAUUGUCAUGGAGGCAGCGGUGGCAGUAGAAGUUCUGGAAAGCCAUCAAAUUUACUCACUGAUCGCAUCCACAGGACCUGCACUUUGUUAAACAAUGCGCAUAGAAUGAUGAGCAAGUCAGGGACUGAAGACCUGUCAGUGGAAAUUUAUACUUUGUUUUUAAGUAAGAGAGAAGAAAUAUGAAUGACCCAGGAAAAAGAAGUGACCACAGUAAGUAACCUUUUAAAGACAUUCCUCUUUUCCUAACUUCCCAGAAGCGAUCACACUUAGCAAUGGGAGUUAAAUCCUCCAGUUCUCGUGGUUCUGUCCUUAUGUGAGUUCUCAAGCCGCCCCUGGGCUCUUAGCACAACCCAGAACCUCAAGUUUAAUGAACAAAUGCUCUACCUAAGAGAUACAGUUUUAUCUUCAAAUCUGUCACUUCAAAUGAAAAGCAGGCCCCUGAAUCUUUGAGCUAAGGAAUAGGGUCAUUCUGUUAGGGUCGAGUGGUAACAUGGAAAGUAUGUCCUAUUGAGAGAUCAUGUUCUCUGUUUUCUGAAGCAUAAACUGUGGUGGUAACUGAACAGGUAGUACUUUUCAGUGUUUGCAAAUUUUACUAAAACGUCAGGUAUACAUAGUAUCUAUAGACUCAUGUGUCUGUUCAAGAGUGAGCUUAUUUUGUUCUUAUUUUAUAUUUAACCCACUAAAUGAUGUACCUAUUUUUUCC
rnacentral:lncRNA from 1 species